UUUUAAAAAAGGCGUAUAUAUUCUUCAGGACAUUGCUCAGCAAGCACUGUCUAUAUAUGACAUCAUAUAUAUGUUUUUAGAUACCAGUCUCUCUAAUACUUGAAGACAUACCUAUUUUCUCUAAUUGCCAAAGGCAAAGGGGAGGUGCACUAAAGAAUAAAGAAGGUUAUUGUGACAGAUGAAACAUAAUUCACAAUGAAUACUCUUUUCAUCCAUUCCUAAGUAGAAGAGGAUUACUCCAAGCAGAAUACUCUGACUCCAAUAAUAUAAAGACAGGCCACAGACUGGAAAGGCAGUGUAAACCCAAAUAGGAUUUUGCUCAAGAUUUUGGAUUUCUCCAUACCAGAAGAAAUAUUAAACUCAAGAAAGUCUGAAGACAAAUAGCCAAUGCAAAGCAAUAAGAGAUGGGAUUUUCUGAAAUGGAUAAUGAUGAAGAUUUGUGCUGUAUUUCUUUUUCAUUUGACAUAAUAUUAAUGAAAUGAAACCGUGCUAUUUCUUCAGUAUACUUGUUCUGUAAAAAUCUAGAAGCAACACUCUGAAUCCUAAAAACCCCCCUCAAAACUUUGAUUUUAUAAGGCAAGCUGGAGAGGAGUCAAAUCUGCCACAUGCUGCGUGAAAAAAUGCCACCCUGGUGUGAACAAAGGGUUUAGAAUGGAGUCAAGAAGCAUGCAAGCUCAAUGUCUAAGCUUUUCCUGUGAAUUGUUCUGCCACAACCUGCAGGAUAUCAAGUGGGCUGGGAAGAAUAGGGAGCUCUUGGAAGCUACAACAGAGAAACACUGGCAAUCCAAAGUGUGAGAGAGCGUCUUUUGUUUUGUGCUUCAUUACGGCAAACUGUUUUACCCAAAACAGAAACUAAAUUCAAGACAAAAAUACAAGUCUGAAACUGGCUGAAGAACCCAUGGUAUGUACCUCAUUAUCUUGCCUCGGUCUGGAAUAAAGUGAUGGAAUUUACAAAUCAGAUAAUUCAUGGCAUGGGCCUUAACUCUCAUUACAAAAUAGAAGAAUAACUUGUACUGGCCACAGAAAAAGGCUCCAUGACCUCUCCUGAACUAACUGCUGUGACAGGAAAGGAGAAAAACAUUAAAUUUGUUGUCCAAUUGAAAAUAAAAUGCAUUUUCAACUUAACUUUA